CCUACGGGAGGCAGCAGUGGGGAAUAUUGGGCAAUGGGCGCAAGCCUGACCCAGCAACGCCGCGUGAAGGAAGAAGGCUUUCGGGUUGUAAACUUCUUUUCUCAGGGACGAAGCAAGUGACGGUACCUGAGGAAUAAGCCACGGCUAACUACGUGCCAGCAGCCUCGGUAAUACGUAGGUGGCAAGCGUUAUCCGGAUUUACUGGGUGUAAAGGGCGUGUAGGCGGGAAAGCAAGUCAGAUGUGAAAACCAUGGGCUCAACCUGUGGCCUGCAUUUGAAACUGUUUUUCUUGAGUGCUGGAGAGGCAGACGGAAUUCCUGGUGUAGCGGUGAAAUGCGUAGAUAUUAGGAGGAACACCAGUGGCGAAGGCGGUCUGCUGGACAGCAACUGACGCUGAGGCGCGAAAGCGUGGGGAGCGAACAGGAUUAGAUACCCGGGUAGUC
rnacentral:rRNA from 1 species